CCGGACGAACGGGUGCGUAACACGUGAGCAACCUACCUCUGGUGGUGGGGGAGUAGCCGGGCUAACGCCCGGGUAAUACCGCAUACGGUCAUCCGGGGGAGUCCCUGGGUGAAGAAACCUCCGGGGCACGGAGAGGGGCUCGCGGCCUAUCAGCUAGUUGGCGGGGUAAUGGCCCACCAAGGCAUCGACGGGUAGCUGGUCUGAGAGGAUGGCCAGCCACAUUGGGACUGAGAGACGGCCCAG
rnacentral:rRNA from 1 species